UUUUUUCCUCUUGAGCAGUCGUUGGCUAUGGGUGGAGAAGACGCCAUAUUUUGAGAGAGGGGCAGAAUAGAAGAGAAGGAGAGACUUUGGAGAGGAGGAGGCGGGGGGAGCGAGAGGUAGGGGAGGCCCGGUAGCGGCGGACUUAGGAAGUGAUCCCAAUCCCAAAUGCAUUGCUUGGGCGCGGUACCGAUGGAAGUGAACGGUCCAGUCGCGCUACCGGCCGCGGAGGGGCAGCUCGAGAGAGAAGCACUCGGCCGCCACCGGCCGCCAGUACGGGGACGUCUACGCCCAACGAGCACCGCCCGCCGGCGCGCCCAACCGCUACGCCCACUGCACGCUCUUCCACCACCCUUAGCUGGACCCGUGGUGGUUGAGGCGGCAGCGCCGCUACCUCCCGCCAUUCGGCUGCCACUAGUGGUUGCGGCUCCCGGUCGCCUGCUGCGGCAGCCACCACCGCAUGUGGUUCCCUCCUCUUGCCGAUCACCCGGUCUAACGGUUCUCCGUCCGGCAGCAGUUGGGCCUCUUGUGGAAGAAAAGGCAGUUCGCGAAGUAACCUGCGUUCUACCGACUCCAUCUACUGCUCCGGUUCGUCCAGAGCAUAUUGCAACACGCGCUACUCUUGCCUUUGCAGUUCGAGCUGACGGGACGAUAGCCGUUCGUCAAGCGUCGCCUUCUCUAUAGGCGCGUCCAUAACUCCUUUAACCACCUGCUACGUAGAUUCAAAGACUUACUGUUUUAAUGUUUUCGCCACCAAUGGCAAGGUCGCAUGAAGUUACUGAGCGUCUCUUGUCGUUGUUUCCUACGACCGGCAUAACGUCCCGACCUUCAAGAGGCGUAAUAUUUACUCGGUUGACGACGUAGAGAACGAAUACCAAAACUCUUCUUUUUGUUGCUUUGCUAAGAUCACAAACUGAACCCACCGCCAUGAAAACUACAGAGACAUAACCUCCAACCUCUACCACAUAAACUCCACGAAAGGUGUAGACCCCUGUGUGUGAAUCCACCUCUACUGAAACUAUUCUUUUAACAUCUAACCGAACGAUCGUGGAAGUUCUUACUACUUCCGUAGCUAGAAGAGUUCCUAUUUGUUCGGGAAGUCGCAGAAUGACUCCGUCGUCUUUUUCGAUUCUACCUUAACAGUUGCGAGUGUGUCCGCUUGUAAUCGAACGGUAAGUAUUGACGAUGACGACUACCCGGGUUUGUGUAACUCCGUUGGGAAAGAUCUCGAUUUAAGCUCCUUGACACAAGUCUAGACUAACUAUCCGAAUUUUGAGGACAAUUAUUGCGGAACUUUCUACGGUUCGAUAGACAAUCAUUAGAUCUACUUCACUAAGAACACCCACCUAGGUGGGCUUAGGGACGUCACGUUCUUUGCCAAUCCUUCUAAUGUCCGUUCCUAGGGUUACAAUGUCAGUUGGGACUACUCCAACAAAGAGAACCCCGCCGGCAUGUCCCACCUCAAAACCGACCUCUACACUUCCUACAACAAGAAGAACUACAAUGAGGUAACAGUUAACCAAACCUCUGCAACCCACCUCACUACUGCUUCUAAUAGGGGUCCUUAUGUUGUGACGGGUGGAGGUUUAGUCUCCAUAAGAGUUGCCGACGACUACCUGUCUGUUCACAACUCUAAUUACAGGAGGUCCCUCUCUCUCUCAAACAGUCCCUGUUGUUCAGAGAACCUUCGAAGGCUGACCUACCCUAGGGAGGGCGUGGUGCACCACAUGGUGUUUAACUUCACUUCAAACUGUAACUACGGUUACCGUAAGACAGUCAUCGUCGACAACUAUUCCCAUGACCUUUCUUCGUCCUAUAGUGGUAGUGACCACGAUCAUGUGAUGGUUUCCUGCUCCAGCUCUCUUACCAUCUUCUUCGGCUGUUCAAGCGGGUCCUCCUGUUUCUCUUUUCUCUACGAUAACUGUGGUUCUUGGUUCGUCUGAGACACCACAUGGUCUGCCUCUUCGUUGACUUCCUCGAACCCCUGUUCCAGGGACGAGGACACUUUCUCUUCCAACUACAUUUCGAGGUCCUUGACUUUCUACGGUAACGACCACCUAGCUGUGUCUUGUACUUUUGACGGUACCUCCGAAACUUGGUCCUCCAUUACGUCUAGCCUGUCCGAUACAUGUUGGUUUGAUCACGGCCACCACGACCGAGAUGACUACGACUUUGACUCGGACCACGACCUAGUUGUUCGAGUCCUUUCCCUGGUUUACUACCUCUACAAUAGCUGCGCCUGAAGUGUCUAUCGUUAAUUUCCUACCAGUUACCUAGCACCACUCACUAUGUAUCUGGGACUCAAUAUAAGACUCACCGUAAGAUCCCAACUCCUACAAUAAAAACAUAGAGCCGAGGUACAUAGAUGUUCUACAAAUAAGUCAUAUACUUUAAACCAUCGCCAUCCUUAGUUGUUGCAAACGAUCUCACUAGAACUUAGUUCAUAUGGGGAGACCAUUACGUUUCUACGUUUUCCUAAAACCAGCUUUGUCAUCGUAUAAGGGAUUUCUCAUUUGAUCGGUACAAAUCCAGUCGUUAUUUGCUUCAAAGUACCACAUGGAUUACAAUAGCAAUAUCUUGUCUAGUACCACGUAGAUUCAAAGUACCAAAUAGAUAACCCUACAAAUAAUAUCUUGUAUAGAACUAUACUCAAACAGUAGACCAACUACUUCUUUAUUAAUAAAAAGAAAAUACAAAAGGGUGAUUCGUACUGUUCCUAAAUUUACCUGAAGGUUACCUGUCGACGAUAAUUCACGUGUUAACGAAACUUUGUGUAGUUCCUUAGACUUUAACUCGUACGGUGUCCGCGAUAAGAGUGAUUAAGCACCUACAAAUAGAACCGUCGUAUACACGUAAACGUUUCAAACCACGUUUUCAUAUUCAUGUACGCGGUAUGUAUUUUGUUAAUAGAAGUCAGAGUGAUAAGAGUUCACACUAUAGAAGAUAAGACUACUCAAACAGACUAACGUACGAAUAUCAUCGAAAAGAAGUCGGUCAUAAGAAGAAAACAAACCAAACAAUGAAGAAGCUUCUUUAUCAAACAAGCUUCUUAAACUAUUUUUUAGAGAAGUGUAGGGGAGGGGAACACCAGCUAACUUGCGAGAAAGUCCCACUUAUGUACACUCUUAUUCUCUACGCUGUUCCUGGGACAGUAAAAAGCCGACGUACUUACAAAGGGGUAGGAAGAGGAGUGUACGUCUAAGUACGUACGUGAUGUUCUGUCUUGAUUACCGUAUUAAAGAAAAAUAGUUUUAAGUUUUAUUAAAGAUCGAGUUGAUUACUAGGUUAAGUUUUAAUC
rnacentral:rRNA from 1 species